rnacentral:tRNA from 2 species
GCCGGUUUAGCUCAGUUGGUAGAGCAGUCGCCUUGUAAGCGAAUGGUCGGCGGUUCGAAUCCGUUAACCGGCACCA